ACCCAUUUUGACACUCCUAGUU
rnacentral:snRNA from 1 species